AACUGAAGCAUAUAAACUUCGUGCCGCCAGAUUAGUAGAAAUUGCUGCGAAAAACCUUCAAACUGAAGUGAUUCACAGAAAAAGCAAGGAGGUAGCAUGGAACCUAACUUCUGUUGACCUCGUUCAAGCAAGUGAGGCACAUUGCCACUAUGUGGUAGUUAAGCUCUUUUCAGAAAAACUCCUGAAAAUUCAAGAUAAAUCCAUUCAAGCUGUCUUAAGGGA